rfam:Candidatus Thrbacteria bacterium RIFCSPHIGHO2_12_FTLL_57_11 rifcsphigho2_12_scaffold_9999, whole genome shotgun sequence.
GUGGCCAUAGCUCAACAGUAGAGCACUAGCCUGUGGCGCUAGUGACACGGGGGCAGCACCCGUUGGCCACC